UUUUACCUGCAGUCUUUCCUGUAAGGCUGUGAACUCACCAAGAUGCAUUUCAUCUUCUCAGAUACAGCGGUGCUUCUGUUUGAUUUCUGGAGUGUCCACAGUCCUGCUGGUAAGAAUUGGGGACCUCAGACUUGUAGCUUGGAAAGCCUUGUAGUACUAGGCAAGGGAGAAUCUGGGUUCUCUUGAUUCUCUGUGGGCAUUUAAGUGAGGCUGAUUCCUCUGGCAUAAACACUGAGCAGGAACUUCACAGUUAUAAUUCCAUUUGUAACCACUCCCCUUCAGAUCGCAAAGGGCUCCAUUAUCUUACUGAUCCUCACAAAGGCCGAGAGGCAGGGAGGCAGCUUUUCCCUCUGUUACAGGGCAAGAAACUAAAGCCCAGAGACAGGAAGAGAGACUCGUGCAGGGUCACACAGUAAGUACGCAUCAGAGCCACUACUAGAUCAAGGCCUCCGGGUGUCACCUGGCACCUCCCUUAUCCAGGGCUCAUUGUUCUGCACCAGUUCAGAAGCCCACAGCAGCUGCUGGAGAUGAGACACCAAUUUGAAAGGAAAGAAUAUUCCUUUGAUUUGAAAAGGCAGAGUUUGUCACUAAUUCAUGAAGAAGUUAUUUUUCAACUUAAAUAACUGCAUCUUAAAAAGAGACUGGAAACAGCCCAAAUGCCCAUUAUUGCGGGUGCAGAUUAAAUAAAUUAUGGUCAGCCCUACAAUGGGUUACUAUUUCUUGUUAUCUAUUGCUGAAUAAACAGUGGCUUAAAACAAGUCAUUUUAUCAUUCUCUCUCAAGGUUCUGUGAGUUGACUGGACCCAGGUGAGUGGUCCUUACUGAAGGUCUCUCAUGCAGUAUAGUCAAACAGUGGCUGGAAGUAGGGUCAUUUGGAAGAGUUCCUCACUCUCAUGCCAAGUGGCUGAUACUGGUUGUUAGCUAGGACCUCAGCUGGAGUUGUUGGCUGAACACCUACAUGUGGCAUCUCCUAUGGCCUGGGCUUCCUCGUGGCAGAGUGGCUAGAUUCCAAGAUCGAGUGUCGCAAGAGAACAAGGUAGAAGUACGUGGGAUUUUCAAGACCUAGCCUUGGAAAUCAGAUAAAAUUACUUCUACCUUUAUUGGCUGAAGCAGUCACGAAGGUCUUCCUAGGCUAAAGGAGAGGGAACAAACAUGGACCCCACCACUUGAUGGCAGGAGUGUUGACAUCAUAAGAAGGGGAUGUGGGGUGGGAUACAUUGGAGUGGCUGUCUUUGGAAAAUGUAAUCUAUCACAGAUACGAUGAAGCCACUGGGGAAAAGGUAAAUCUGUGUGAACUGAGGUAAAACUGGAUGAUAAAGUCAAAUGCAAAACAG
rnacentral:lncRNA from 1 species